rnacentral:siRNA from 1 species
AGAGGCGCAUCGAUUAAUCAG